rnacentral:rRNA from 1 species
CUGGUCAAGCUGUAAAGGGCGCAAGGGGAAUGCCUUGGCACUGAGAGCCGACGAAGGACGCGACAAGCUGCGAUAAGCUACGGGGAGCCGCAAAUGGGCUUUGAUCCGUGGAUUUCCGAAUGGGGAAACCCGAUGGAGCAAUACUCCAUCAACCAUGACUGAAUACAUAGGUCAUGGUGGGGAACCGCCUGAACUGAAACAUCUAAGUAGGGCGAGGAAGAGAAAUCAACCGAGAUUCCGCUAGUAGUGGCGAGCGAACGCGGAAGAGGCCAAACCGGAGGUAGCAAUAUUUCCGGGGUUAGGACUGCAAUAUGUAACUUUAAUCUUUAACUGAAUGCUUUGGGAAGAGCAGCAAUAUAGGGUGAUAGCCCCGUAAGUGAAAAGGAUUGAGUGCUAGCAGUAUCCAGAGUACCAGCGGACACGUGAAACCCGCUGGGAAGAUGGGGGGACCAUCCUCCAAGCCUAAAUACUACUCAGUGACCGAUAGUGGAGCAGUACCGUGAGGGAAAGGUGAAAAGUACCCCGGGAGGGGAGUGAAAAAGAACCUGAAACCUUGUGCCUACAAGCACCGAGAGCACGUUAAAGUGUGAUCGGGUACUUUUUGUAGAACGGUCCGGCGAGUUAAUAUUUGCAGCGAGGUUAAGGAACUGGAGUUCCGGAGCCGCAGCGAGAGCGAGUCUGAAAAGGGCGUAUGAAGUUGCAGGUAUUAGACCCGAAACCGGGUGACCUAUCCAUGAGCAGGCUGAAGCGGUGGUAAGACACCGUGGAGGGCCGCACCCACGUCUGUUGAAAAAGCCGGGGAUGACUUGUGGAUAGCGGAGAAAUUCCAAUCGAACUCGGAGAUAGCUGGUUCUCCCCGAAAUAGCUUUAGGGCUAGCGUUAUUUUAGAUUACCGGAGGUAAAGCACUGAAUGGUCUAGGGGCCGCGAGGUUACCAAAGCCUAUCAAACUCUGAAUGCCGGAUAAUUGAUGAAUAGCAGUCAGACUGUGUGAGAUAAGUCUCAUAGUCAAAAGGGAAACAGCCCAGAUCUACAGCUAAGGUCCCAAAUGAACACUAAGUGGAAAAUGAUGUGAAACUGCGAAGACAACCAGGAUGUUGGCUUAGAAGCAGCCACUCAUUCAAAGAGUGCGUAAUAGCUCACUGGUCGAGUGGUUUUGCGCAGAAAAUGUAACGGGGCUAAGUGUUCAACCGAAGCUUAGGCAUUGCAGUAAUGCAUUGGGUAGGGGAGCGUCGUAUGCGGGGCGAAGUCAGAGCGGAAGCACUGGUGGACUGCAUACGAGUGAGAAUGCCGGAAUAAGUAGCGAGAAUUAUGUGAGAAUCAUAAUGGCCGAAAAUCUAAGGUUUCUUGGGGAAGGUUCGUCCGCCCAAGGUUAGUCGGGAGCUAAGCUCAGGCCGAAAGGCGUAGGCGAUGCACAUACGGUAGAAAUUCCGUAACCACCGAACAUUUAAGCUAGAGGGACGCUUUCAUUAAGUCUAUCCCGGGCGAUGGUUGCCCCGGGCGUAAGGGACCGAAAUUUAGUAGGGAAGUAGACGGCGUGAGAGACGAGAAAAGCUCUAGUGUAUACUAAGGUGCCCGUACCGCAAACCGACACAGGUAGAUGGGAUGAGUAUUCUAAGGCCAACGGGAGAAGGGUUGUUAAGGAACUCGGCAAAUUGGCCCCGUAACUUCGGGAUAAGGGGCGCCUGCGAGAGCAGGCCGCAGUGAAAAGGCCCAAGCGACUGUUUAGCAAAAACACAGCUCUCUGCUAAAUCGAAAGAUGACGUAUAGGGGGUGACGCCUGCCCGGUGCUGGAAGGUUAAGGGGAGUGCUUAGCGCAAGCGAAGGUGCGAACUUAAGCCCCAGUAAACGGCGGCCGUAACUAUAACGGUCCUAAGGUAGCGAAAUUCCUUGUCAGGUAAGUUCUGACCCGCACGAAUGGCGUAACGAUUUGGGCACUGUCUCAACAGCCCGCCCGGCGAAAUUGUAGUACCGGUGAAGAUGCCGGUUUCCCGCAACUAGACGGAAAGACCCCAUGGAGCUUCACUGUAGCUUGAUAUUGGAUCUCGGUAUUCCAUGUACAGGAUAGGUGGGAGACUUGGAAGUAAGCGCGCCAGCGUUUAUGGAGUCAACCUUGGGAUACCACUCUUGGGAUAUUGGGAUUCUAACCUGCGACCAUGAAUCUGGUCGGGGGACACUGUCAGGUGGGCAGUUUGACUGGGGCGGUCGCCUCCAAAAGAGUAACGGAGGCGCUCAAAGGUUCGUUCAGCACGGAUGGAAAUCGUGCACUGAGUGUAAACGCAUAAACGAGCCUAACUGCGAGAAUGACGGUUCGAGCAGUAACGAAAGUUGGAGUUAGUGAUCCGGCGGUAUGUGAAUGGAAAUGCCGUCGCUCAACGGAUAAAAGCUACCCUGGGGAUAACAGGCUGAUCUCCCCCAAGAGUCCACAUCGACGGGGAGGUUUGGCACCUCGAUGUCGGCUCAUCGCAUCCUGGGGCUGAAUUCGGUCCCAAGGGUUUGGCUGUUCGCCAAUUAAAGCGGUACGCGAGCUGGGUUCAGAACGUCGUGAGACAGUUCGGUCCCUAUCUGUUGCGGGCGCAGGAAUAUUGAGAGGAGCUGUCCUUAGUACGAGAGGACCGGGAUGGACGUACCGCUGGUGCACCAGUUGUUCUGCCAAGGGCAUAGCUGGGUAGCUAAGUACGGACGAGAUAAACGCUGAAGGCAUCUAAGCGUGAAACUCCCCUCGAGAUAAGUGUUCCCAUCCUUCGGGAGUAAGGCCCCUUGUAGACUACAAGGUUGAUAGGUCAGGAGUGGAAGUGCAGUAAUGUAUGGAGCGGACUGAUACUAAUAGGCCGAGGGCUUGACCUUAAAUGUUAGGUAACCUCGAA